rnacentral:rRNA from 1 species
UACAGGGGGUGCAAACGUUGCUCGGAAUUAUUGGGCGUAAAGCGCGCGUAGGCGGCUACUUAAGUCGGAUGUGAAAGCCCUUGGCUCAACUGAGGAAGUGCACCCGAAACUGAGUGGCUUGAGUACUAAAGAGGGUCGCGGAAUUCCAGGUGUAGCGGUGAAAUGCGUAGAUAUCUGGAGGAACACCGGUGGCGAAGGCGGCAUCCUGGACCGACACUGACACUGAGGAGCGAAAGCCAGGGGAGCAAACGGG